GACAGCUCCGUUGGUUAAAGCGUGGUACUGAUAAUGCCAAGGUUGUGGGUUUGAUCCACAUACAGGCUAUCUACA